rnacentral:piRNA from 1 species
UGGUGUUAGAGGACCUGCCCCAGGUCA